rnacentral:rRNA from 1 species
UGGGGAAUUUUGGACAAUGGGCGAAAGCCUGAUCCAGCAAUGCCGCGUGUGUGAAGAAGGCCUUCGGGUUGUAAAGCUCUUUCACCGGUGAAGAUAAUGACGGUAACCGGAGAAGAAGCCCCGGCUAACUUCGUGCCAGCAGCCGCGGUAAUACGAAGGGGGCUAGCGUUGUUCGGAAUUACUGGGCGUAAAGCGCACGUAGGCGGAUUGUUAAGUCGGGGGUGAAAUCCCGGGGCUCAACCCCGGAACUGCCUUCGAUACUGGCAAUCUAGAGUCCGGAAGAGGUGAGUGGAAUUCCGAGUGUAGAGGUGAAAUUCGUAGAUAUUCGCAAGAACACCAGUGGCGAAGGCGGCUCACUGGCCCGAUACUGACGCUGAGGCACGAAAGCGUGGGGAGCAAACA